AGGGGGCUAGCGUUGCUCGGAAUCACUGGGCGUAAAGGGUGCGUAGGCGGGGCGUUAAGUCAGGGGGGAAAUCCUGGAGCUCAACUCCAGAACUGCCUUUGAUACUGAAGAUCUUGAGUUCGGGAGAGGUGAGUGGAACUGCGAGUGUAGAGGUGAAAUUCGUAGAUAUUCGCAAGAACACCAGUGGCGAAGGCGAGUCCCUGGACAACUCCUGACACUGAGGCACGAAAGCUAGGGGAGCAAACAGG
rnacentral:rRNA from 1 species